rnacentral:tRNA from 1 species
AGGAUGAUAGCUUAGUUGGCAGAGCGUUGGAUUCCAAAUCCAAAGGUGGUGGGUUCGAGCCCUACUCAUCCUG